rnacentral:rRNA from 1 species
UGGGGAAUUUUGGACAAUGGGCGAAAGCCUGAUCCAGCAAUGCCGCGUGUGUGAAGAAGGCCUUCGGGUUGUAAAGCACUUUUGUCUGGAAAGAAAUCCUUGGCUCUAAUACAGUUGGGGGAUGACGGUACCGGAAGAAUAAGCACCGGCUAACUACGUGCCAGCAGCCGCGGUAAUACGUAGGGUGCAAGCGUUAAUCGGAAUUACUGGGCGUAAAGCGUGCGCAGGCGGUUUGCUAAGACCGAUGUGAAAUCCCCGGGCUCAACCUGGGAACUGCAUUGGUGACUGGCAGGCUAGAGUAUGGCAGAGGGGGGUAGAAUUCCACGUGUAGCAGUGAAAUGCGUAGAGAUGUGGAGGAAUACCGAUGGCGAAGGCAGCCCCCUGGGCCAAUACUGACGCUCAUGCACGAAAGCGUGGGGAGCAAAACAGGAUUAGAUACCCCUGGUAGUCCACGCCCUAAACGAUGUCAACUAGUUGUUGGGGAUUCAUUUCCUUAGUAACGUAGCUAACGCGUGAAGUUGACCGCCUGGGGAGUACGGUUGCAAGAUUAAAACUCAAAUGAAUUGACGGGGU